rnacentral:rRNA from 1 species
UACGUAGGGCCCGAGCGUUGUCCGGAUUUAUUGGGCGUAAAGCGCAUGCAGGUGGUGAUGAAAGUCGGAUUUGAAAUCUUGAGGCUCAACUUCAAGUUUGGAUUCGAUACUUUAUCACUUGAGGUCAGUAGGGGCAAGCGGAAUUAGCGGUGUAGCAGUGAAAUGCGUUGAUAUCGCUAAGAACACCAAUGGCGAAGGCAGCUUGCUAUACUUUCUCUGACACUGAGAUGCGAAAGCGUGGGGAGCGAAC